GCAAUGUGGGUGCCCCUGGGGCCAUCUCCCGUGGGACAGGCGCGCACCGCGAAGCCGCAGCCUCCUCACCAGCCUGCCUCCAGUCCAGCCCUGGAUGGGACGCGCCUCCUGAAACACAGCACUGAGGAGUUUCCUGCUCAUGCACGAGGACAUCUUGACUGCUGUGCCCUCUACACCCUAACAACAGCCACUCCUUGGAUCUUGGGUGCAAGAGGCUGGUGAAAGGUAUGGCCUUGGGGACACAAGGGUGAAGUUUGGGGUCAUUUACCACAGCGUGGACUAGAAUGGGAAGAGCAGCCUCUGGGCAGACACAACCCCAUGUCCACAUAGACUCUUCACUCUGUGGGGACUGGCGUCAGACCUUGAAGGCACAGAGCUUAGAGUAGAGGUCCUUUUUGUGCCCCCAGGACAAGGCCCAAGGCUCCACACUCCUUCCCUGCCUUCAGCUGACCUUGACCCAGCAUUUAUUCUGGUCAUUUUUAUCCCUGGAACUCAUGCUCUGUCCUCAAACCUGGGAUUCACCUGUUGUAACUUGAUGGAGGAUAUGGGCACAACUGGUCUCAGGGGAGGCACCAGCCACAGGAAAAUCGAGGCAUAGCUUUGUCCAGCCUCUGCCCCUGCCCUCCUGGGAGUGGAAGUGGCUGGAACAGCUUAGCUAGAAUUAGGGCUUUUUCCUCAGGGAGUUUGUUAGAUAAUCAGGGGUGAGACAAACAGCAGGAAAGUCAGUUUGGAAGGUGUGGGCCUGUCUUCUCCAUGCUGGCUCCCAGUAAAGGGCCCCUCUUUUGGGGGGCAUGUGGGGCCCUGGAAUGGCUGGGGUGGGAAAGAUGGGCCUUGGGCCACCAACUGGGUUUCUAGUGGUGUUUCCCAAGUAGGCUCUGGGGGCAGUGACUUCCUGGACUGAAGUGGGGAGUAGUGUGUUGGGUUUAUGUUCAUGCAAAUGUGACCCUAGAGAGAGGGCAAGGCCUGGGUCUAGCUUGGGGCACAUUGAGUCCAAAUUAAAGGUGGGGACUUGGGCUGAGAAGCCAGCCAGUCUGAAGCCAGGGAUGGGGCUGAGGGUGUGCUAUCACUGAGCCUUUAGCUCCACCUCACACUGUCCCUGCUUGAACACCUGCCUGCUCACCAGGACUCCCCACUAGCAAGAGUGGAAAGGCAGUAAGUGGCCUUGGUGUUUGUUUGAGUCUUGCUCUAAAUUGUAACUCACAUGAUUAUUGAAAAUCACUGGAGAGAGACAGGCACAGCAAAAGUUUUAAUGGAAUAGCUUUGGCUCAGGCAGAGGCAGUUCCCAGAUGUCUCAGAAUGUAGGUGAGCCCCAAGAAACUGUGGGCAUUCUCUGAAGCCCCUGGGACCCAUUUCCCUGAACAAAAGGAGUGGCCACCCAGCUUCCAGCAGCAAGGCCUCUCAAAUAUAGAAGGUUCUUGGCCUCCUUCUCAGGACUCAGGGGACUACUGCUCUCAUGGACAGCUCCUAGAUGCUGAUUCGUGUAGAAAGGCUGGCCUGGGCAAGGAUGAGGGCCCAAGCAGGAAGGGCAGG